AACUCAAUCUUUUUAAACAGUAUUCAGUUUUUUUAAAGCCCCUAUCAUGAGAGAGACACUACGAAGGAACAAAAACCAUGCACCCACAACGAGAGGCUCUGGGAAAACACUGUGAUUAAAGGUGGAAAUAUGAAGACACGCUGAAUCUAACAGACACGAAGCAGCCUCUGUGAAGGCUGAGAGACUCGGUACACUAAAUGCCUCGCACGUGAGCAGAACUGUGUGACAAUCACAAUCACCCUUAUUGAUCUUGUGCAUCGGCUUUAAAGGAGUCUUCCAUGUUUUUCUUUCACACUCAGUUUACUGCGCCGGCACGGUGCAGUUUUUCAAUGUGUAUACUGUGAUUGAAGAGACUUUGACAAUCUUGAAAGGACUAUGCAAUGCGUCUAUAUGUGUUUGCAAUGCUUUGUAUAACUGGAUUCUGCACACUUGAGACUGGGAAUGAAUAUGCACUAUCAGUGAAGUCACCGACUAUUAUUAUAAACUGGAGUUUCUGUUGUGAAAAGCUGCCUGUAACAUUAGGAAAAAAAACGCAGAUUGAUGUGUGUGUGUGUGUGUGUGUGUGUGUGUGUGUGUGACAAAUACGCCAAAGAAAAAGAGUGUAGCUGAGUGCAGGUUUUAUUUGUCGUCAUGUCUCAAAAGUCAGCCUGUCGUAUCUAUAAACCAGGUCUGCCCUGAGGGGGAGGAUUGACUCACACACUUUAAAUACGGCCCUUCCCCUCCAUGUUGUUUGCACACAGGUUCAGGUGAAUUUCAGGAAUGGGACUCACCCUCCUCUUCCUCCUCCUCCUCGCUCUAUUUCCUACUACAAUGUGAAGAAAAAAGCAAAAUAGGACAAAUAUUAUUGAUAACUCCUCAUUAUAAAUCUCCCCCCCCUUCAGCGUAGAAUGAAAACAUUGACAAGUAUUCAGAAACAAAACAGGAGAGAGACAUGAAAGAGGGAAAUGUUGUGACAGCAGCGGCUCUAAUCAUACAGGAAUCUAAAAAGGCUGAGAAAUGUAGGGAGAGGAGCAGCUGCUGUGGGUUUAGACACCCACGCUUUAUGUGCAAAUGUGUUCGGACAGAGUAUAAGGCCAGUGCUGACCUGGGGACAUUAUUGGAAAUUCAACUGUUGGUCCUGAAAGAGCAGAAAGACGUCAUCUGUUUAGUUAGAUGACGACCAUUGGGAUCACAUUUGGCAACAAGAAUAAUUUCACCUCAAAAAUACUAAAGUUACACACAUUCUUUGAAAACACCUGACCACCACACCUGUGUGUCUUAAGCAUGGCAGAUCCAGUCUCCUGUUCAAUAUUAGGUCAGUACGUUUUUACUUAUAUGUUGAUUGCUUGGUGACUGUUAUAGGCACAUCUGCCGUCAGAUCAGAGGGCACUCAUACUUGUGUGACAGGACGUGAUUUUUUUUUUCUUCUAAUGUAUUAUUUUUGUAUAAAAUUGAAAUCAAUCAUAAAUCAUUAUUUAUACUUUCUGAGAAAAUAUUGAUAUUUCAAGUAAAAGUUUUUUUUUUCCAAAAUGAA